rnacentral:rRNA from 1 species
UACCCGUUCCCGUUCCGAACACGGAAGUCAAGCACCCUUACGCCGAUGAUACUCCAUCCCGGGGGAAAGUAGGCAGCCGCCGGCU